rnacentral:rRNA from 1 species
CAGCCGCCGCGGUAAUACAGAGGGUGCGAGCGUUAAUCGGAUUUACUGGGCGUAAAGCGUGCGUAUGCGGCUUCUUAAGUCGGAUGUGAAAUCCCUGAGCUUAACUUAGGAAUUGCAUUCGAUACUGGGAAGCUAGAGUAUGGGAGAGGAUGGUAGAAUUCCAGGUGUAGCGGUGAAAUGCGUAGAGAUCUGGAGGAAUACCGAUGGCGAAGGCAGCCAUCUGGCCUAAUACUGACGCUGAGGUACGAAAGCAUGGGGAGCAAACAGGAUUAGAGACCCCCGUAGUCCCUGUCUCUUAUAC